rnacentral:lncRNA from 1 species
ACCGUUAGCAUUUCCACCGUUAGCAUUUUAUGCUAUCAAAUUUUCCAUCGUUAGAUUUAUUUCUAUGAUUAUUUUUUAUCUAUUAAAUCAUACUAUUCAGCCAAACGCCCACCAACUCUAGGAGAUCACUGUCAUCCUAACCGCAUAAUCCUUUAUCCAACGGCCGAAAAUCUAAUAGCACCAGUAACUCAGUGCUACUAAAAGCAUUCCAACCUAACUCUAUAUAUAUAAAUUAUAAAUUAUAAAAAUAAAUAUUUUUCUUUUUUCC